rnacentral:lncRNA from 1 species
CGCAGCUCUCUGUCCCACCAAUCCAUGUGAAAGUCAACUCAUUUCUCUAGGAAUGAUGCUGCCUCAGGCAAAGCCUGUAUGACUCAGAAGGAAAAAUUAUUAAAGUUUUAUUAAUUCCCCAACCCUGUUUACAUCUGAUCCUCUGUACUGAGUGUCAGGACCUCUCUGAACACUCAAGCAGCAGAGUUUCAGGACUUGGGAACAAUACCAUGUAAUUUAUGAUUGCUUCCUGCCCAGUGUCUGGUCAGCACAGAACAGAACUCGAAUCUCAAAUCUCAGGGAGCACUGUGGCAAUCUCCUGCCUCUGCCAAGAGAAAACCAGGCCUGCAGCAGCUCCCCUAACUGCACACAGAGACCUGACAGCAAAGGUGCAGUUAUGUACUGAGUCAGCACAAACAGGGCAGUGACAAGAGAAAGCAUUCGGAAUUCUGAACCAGCUCAGCUCUGGAUGGAUUGAAGAAAACAAAAUGUUCCUGCACACUGGUGCUAAUGAAGCCUGGUUUGCGAUGGCCUCGUGUGUCGUGCUUGAUUGAUUUUAAACUGUAUUAUGCAAAGCAGCAGCAUUUGCUCUGCCUGUGAGGCGCUGGAGAGCCCACACACGGCUGUGGAGUGAAUCAGGAGCUGAGGGAAAGAACGAGGCAGGUCCCGGGUGAACAGCCCGAUGUCUCCCAGGGGAACUGGCUGGGGUGAUGAAAGAUGCUGCACUCCUCACCUGACAGCAGCUGCUCCUGGCAAAGGGCUGCUGCUCCCAGGCUGAGCCACACAAACAGCUAAUUGUGCACUUUGCUGCAACGCUGGCUGUGGUAGCUAAAAUCACCCUCAUUUCAUGGCUCACGAGACAGGAACGUGCCCUUCUUGAGGGGUAAACUGGAGGCAAAAGUGGUGAGCAAUUAUUUUUUUAGUCAAUAGGCAGGUUUUGGUGGAAAAAUGAGCCAUGUUGAGAACUAAACCAUCAAAGGAGAGUGUCUGGUGUGAAUGAGCUUCGUCCACCUGAGAAACGCCCAUGUGAGAGCUGCUGGGGGAAGGGAUGUGCAAGGUCCUCUGAGGCAGGGGGGUGGGAGGGGGGAACUAAAGAAUGACCCUGCAGAUGGGGACAUGGAAAAUUCCUCUGCUGGGCAGAGUCCCAGGCAGACUCCAAUGCUUCCAGGGUGACCACUGUCCUUAAUGCUAUGCUCAGCUUUUCAGGGCAAUGUCACCAAAUGUCACCUGAGAUUUCUCCACUUUGGAGGAAUCUCUUAAAAGAAUAACGGAGAAAGCAAUAAAGUCUAUCAAGC